rnacentral:lncRNA from 1 species
GCAAGCUACUUGGGAAGUCAAACAAUCAGAAGGAUGCUUGGGGAACAGGCAGUCAGAACAGGAGCAUGGAGUUUGAUGAUUCCAACGUCCAGCCACACGACGCGGAAGGAGGCUGCUGGAAGGAAGUGUGUGAGAUGAGCUUAUUUGUGAGUGAGCAGGAGGGAAGGGGUGGUGAACUUUCCUCCCAGGACGAGACGUGUACCUGCACUUCUCAGCCAUGAGUGUCGGGAACCAGUCCUGGAGAAGCAAGACAAAUCGCUUCCCUGUGAAGGUGCAUACCCUUUUCCUUUAGGAACAGUUGCGUCCUAUUCUCUGCUAUAGAAAACCAUCAAAGUCUUUUUUGACAUCUCUGACAUGAAAUAGUGAAGACAGUGCAGAAAGAUGCUGCCUGGUCCCUAAUGACCUUGUGUGGAGAGGGGAACAGAAACAGCUCAUUAGAGUGAUUUAAUGUGGUAUUUUGUUAAAACUAAAUCAAAAUAAUCUAUGGAAUGUGGCUGAGAUUCAUCUGAACUUGAAAUGCACAGGACUACGCUUUAUCUCUUUGUUUUCAUUUUGCAACUAAAUGGAAUUCUAAAUUUGAAAUACUACAGAACAGGAUGCUUUCCAAAUCAAAAUCAAAUUCUUUUUUUUUUUUUUUCCAAAACAGGCUCACAAUCUUGGGAUAACUGCAUAGCAGGAAAUAAACAAGACUUGGCUCUAUAUUUGAAGCUGCAGUACAAACAGAACCUAAAAGACAGACAGAAAGAAAAGGAUACACAGACAUAUUACAGCAAUCAAGGCAUCGUUCUGAGACCUGCAUUGGAAUACCACGCAGAGUCCUUGCUCAUCCCCAUGAGUGCUUUGGGUUACACUGUGAUGUGUGUGCAGCUGUAUAUGGGCCUGUCGGGGCUGAUACAGCAGUCAUUCCUUCCAAGAAAUCUUUGAUCUGCUGAAAGGUGACUACAAAGCUGAUAGCCAAGACAUGUGGUCUCUCUAUGUUGCCUACGCUGGUCUCGAAUUCCUGGGCUCAAGCCACCCUCCUUGGCCUCCCAAAAUGCUGGGCUUACAGUGAUGAGCCACUGCACCUGGCCUGUCCAGGUGAGUCUUAUGUCAGCCUCACCCCAUCCUUCCCUGAGAAGUACAUCAAGAAGGGAGAGGCACCUCGACAGUCUGUGGAUGACAGCUCUAUAAUUUCAGCAUUAUUUUAAUACAAUCAAUGUAAGUGCCUUAUGUAUUUAUGCAGCUUCAUUUUACAUGUGCUUUUCCAGAUAAUUGAUUUGUGCUUGUCUGCUAGAUUUCAAUAACUUGCCUCUUUCUUUUUUUCUGUUUUUUUUUUUUUUUUUUCUGUUUGUCCCCUCCCAGUUGUUCUCUAUCCUUGAUGGAAAAAAAUCCAAAGUACUCCCACUGUGCUUUCUGUUCGCUGCAGCCUCUUUUUUGCAAGGAAGCCCUGUCGUGCACAGGAAGGCCACACGGAUGAGAUUCUGUCUGGCCCCUCUAGCUAAGCUGUUCCGCACGGCGAGUGUAUGGGAACGAGGCUGCUUUGAGCUAACUUUGCCAACGCUCUGCUGGUGAGGUGAGCCAGGGCUGAGCCCCUGAUGGUGUUCAGGGAUCUCCUUCAAGAACAUAAAAGGGAGCUGAUUGAUGAGGUCUGUGCAUCUGUUCACUCUCUCCCACCACAGCUCCUGCCCCAAGUGUGUCAAUACCCAGGGGCAAGGGCUGUGGAGGUGGGGAGCAGGUUUAAUGGGUGAAUUUACUUGCAGUAAAGAAGUUCUUCUCCUUGUCUUGGUCACCAUUUGUUCACCAAGAAACUAGCAUUCCCUAUCCUACUAAAAGUUUACAGUUUUUUUUUCUUCUUCUUCUUUUUGGUGAGCACGUUUCUGCACUGUUGAGCUGACAGCUGAAAUCUGUCCUCCUCCUGCGUGUGAUGUCAGCUGUGGGCCAGCCUGGCAGUCUGGGAGAGAAGAGGAGGGGAAAGCUAGGGGGAGAAGGGAGCGUGUUAAGACUGUGACCAGACCGGCUGAAACUGUGUGUCAUGUGUCACAAACCCCACAGCCUGGCAGCUCUCUGUGGAGGGAGCUUUGUCUCUCAUGACAUAUCUAAAGGCUCACGGGAGGCCAACCCGCACCUGUAGCUCUCCUGGCUGACGUGCGACCAGGCAGCCUCCAGAGAGAGAGACAGAGAGGGGAACGGGCAAGAGCUGAGACUCCAGCAACAGCAGGAAAUGGGCUGCGUUGCCGACAGCCGGCUCCGCCAAGAGCUAUUUCUAAAAUCUGGGUUCGAAGACGAUGUGCAGUCAGGUACAAACUGACAGACCAACAACUUUCUCCCAUCUCGCGGCUGCUCCCUUGUUUACAGUGCUUUCAGACUCCAUGGGAGAUUCUCUAAAGGUACCUGUGUGGUGUCUCCUAAGAGUCCGGGCUGCCAAGCGCUUCCCGUGUCCUUUCUAACAGGUGUGGAAGGUGUAAGGAAGGAGCAGGAAGGAAAAGAUAAGACACGAAGAGAAGGAGCCAGGUGGAAAAUCCUGGAGUGCAGAAGUGUCCGUCUGAAAGGCUGUGAUGACCGUGAUGAGUAAAUUAUUUCAUUCCUACAAUUAUACAAUAAAACAGUAUACAGUUCUUGUGCUCGUGGGAGAAUGAAUUACUGUUUCUUCAUUUCCAUUCAUUUUCUAUUUUUAAAAUAAAAACUUUAUAUAAGCAUAGGAUACUUAAAAGAACCAAGAUACAUUUUGGCUUGUGUUUAUAUAUGGACAUGUUUAAAAACAUAGCAUUUUUAAAUUGGUAAAAUAGGUAAAAAUAACUGGAGAGGAAGUUUCAUACUUGACAGAAAUGAUGAUGAAAUAUUCAAUGCGCUAGGCACGGUGGCUCACGCCUGUAAUCCCAGCACUUUGGGAAGCCAAGGCAGGAGGAUCACUUGAGGUCAGGAGUUCGAGAUCAGCCUGGCCAACAUGGUGAAACCCCAUCUCUACUAAAAAUACAAAAAUUAGCCGGGUGUGGUGGCAGGUGCCUGUAAUCCUAGCUACUCGGGAGGCUGAGGCAGGAGAAUCACUUGAGCCUAGGAGGCCGAGGUUGCAGUGAGCCAACAUCGCACCACUGCACUCCAGCCUGGGUGACAGAGUGAGAUACUCUGUCUCACGAAAAAAAAAGAAAGAAAGAAAUAUUGAAUGCACACAGUGGGAAAGAAGAGAGGACGCAAGACUCUGGGCCCAGAACAGCAGGGAAUCCAGGACCCUCCUGGUGAGAAGGCAAAAUGAGAAUAUGCAGCCUCUGUCCUCAUGGAGGCCAUGGGUGCAGAGUAAAGGGACAAACUGGCCACUUGGCAUUGCAUGGACAGUCUGAGGAUCUCACUUUCUAGCAGUUCAUUCUGGCAUCAAUCUCUGCCGCCCGGACAUGGGGACGCACAGCUUGAUGGGGUCACUCUUUUUGGGUGGUGAUUCCAAUGUGUCACCUAAGCUGGCACCCAGGGGGAUCAGGGUCCACCAGUAACACAAUUACUCAACAGGAGAAAAUACAACCCUGUCGUACCAACCCCUCCCUGACACCACAGCAACAGUCAGGACACAUUUAGGAUAUUUUCUUUUUGAACUAUGUCACUUUGGGACCUUUCUUUAUCAAUUACAGUAAUUUUUACCCUUGUCAUUUAGUAAAACUCUGUGGUCCCUGGUUUUAUUUAAGAUACAAACUUUGUAUAAUAUCAAAUAUAUAUAUGUAAACAUGCAUACAUAUCUGUAUGUAUAUGUGUAUGUAUGCAUACAUGCAUGUAGUAUUUGUUGAAUUUCAAAUUAAUUAUAUUUUGAUAAUUGUAACACUCUAGAUUUGCUUUGAAAAUGCCAAUUUUAAAAAAGAUGCCAUUUGGCCUAUCACUGAUGGGCAUUUAGGUUGCUAUUGUGAAUAGCGUUGCAAUGAACAUACUGUGCAUGUCUCUUUAUAAAAAAAAACGAUGUAUAUUCCUUUGGGUAUAUAACCAGUUAUGAGAUUGAUGGGUCAAAUGGUAUUUCUGGUUCUAGGUGGUACAUGUAUGUACACCAUGGAUCAUGAGAUCAUGUCCUUUCCAGAAACAUGGACAGAGCUGGAAGCUAUUAGCCUCUGCAGACUAACACAGGAACAGAAAACCAAACACCGCAUGUUAUCACCUGUAACUAGGAUUUGAACAAUGAGAACACAUGGACACAGGGAGGAGAACAAAACACAUUGGGCCAGUUUGGGGCACAGUGGGAGGGAGAAAUAGCUAAUGCAUGUGGGACUUAGUACCUAGGUGAUGGGUUGGUAGGUGCAGCAAACCACCAUGGCACAAUGGCACACGUUUACCUAUGUAACAAACCUGCAUGUCUGGAACUUAAAAAAUUAAAUUAAAUUUUUUUAAAAAGAUGCAGUUUGGUAAUCAUUAUUUUUUCAAUUGUUAUAUUUUUUUUAUUUCCCUGGCUUUUGAUUUGUGGAAUAUUUUAUACAUUAAGGAAAUAAUUCAAUUUGUCAAAAGUUUUUCACAACUUUUAGGUUUGCCAUUUACAUUCUAUUUUUGUUCAUAUUGGGAUUUUUUUUUGGGUGGUAAUUAAAAAUGUUGAAACCAAAUGUUUGUAAUGUUUGUAUUCCUUUAUUAAUUCUUUUUUUUUUUGAGAUGGAGUUUUGCUUUUUUCACUCCGGCUGGAGUGCAAUGGUGCGAUCUUGGCUCACCACAACUGCCGCCUCCUGGGUUCAAGCGAUUCUUCUGCCUCAGCCUCCCAAGUAGUUAGGAUUACAGGUGCCCACCACAAACACCCAGCUAAUUUUUGUAUUUUUAGUAGAAACGGGGUGUCACCAUGUUGGCUAGGCUGGUUUCAAACUCCUGACCUCAGGUGAUCCACUUGCCUCGGCCUCCCAAAGUGCUGGGAUUACAGGCGUGAGCCACUGCACCUGGCCUCCCUUAUUAAUUUUUCCUUUAAUCUUAUGCUAAAAAGCCCUUUUCUCCUCUAAACUCUUCUAGCUAUUUUAAAUUGUUAUAUCUUUGUUUUCUUGGUUUACAAUGAACUAUUUGGUCCUUCUUUUGUUUAUUAUGGAAUAUGGUACACACUACAUUUAUUCUCCUUAAUUAACUGAUAGUCUCUUCAAUGAUGAGAAAUGCAUGCCUUAUUAAAUGCUAAAGUAUACAGAGAAUUUGACCUGUUCAUGGCCUUCCAUUCUGUUCCAUUAUUAUGCCUGCCCUGCCUUAAGACUAUCAACUGAUGCUUGGCAAAGUCAGUUGUAUGCCUGCCUCAUACUUUUGUUCCCAAAAUAUUCUUUAUAUUUUCACCUGCUUAUUAUUCUCUAGGUAAUUUAUAAUUUUGAUUUCAAUUGCUUUAAUUUGUGGGAAAAUGACAUAUCAUUUAGAAUCUGAAGAUUCUAAAAAUCUUCAGAAUUUUAAAAUUUUAUGUUUUAUUUCUUGGUGGCAUAUAUUUUGGUUGGAAUUGUGAUAGGGA